GUGCUCGUUUUGGCAGCACAUAUAUUAAAAUUGGAAUACACAGAUUAGCAUGGCCCCUGCCAUGCUAAUUUGGGAUGACACCCAAAUUCAUGAAGCAUUCUAUAUUUUU